AUCACAAGAAUAAUCAUUGCAAGCAACGACCAGAAAAGAAAAUUAGGGGAAACAGACAGAUUCUUGCAAUUCUCAGUCUAAUAAUUCCAAAAUCUAUCAAUUGAAAUUGUUAUGUUCAUAUUCCUCUUUAUCAAUCAGGACAAACAUGCAGAUAUAUGGUUUGGAUAAUUUAAUUUUACGAAUCUACAUUGAGGCGUAAUAUAAGUGUUUGAAGGUAAUUAUUAUGAAAGAGCGUUUUCCACUACUGUAACAUAUGAUAGCAAGGCACUGGUUAUUGAUGGAACGAGGAGAAUUUUGCAGUCAGGGUCUGUGCAUUAUCCGCGAACCACGCCUGAUGUGUGGCCAGAAAUCAUUAGAAAGGCGAAGGAAGGAGGAUUGGACGUGAUUGAGACUUAUGUCUUUUGGAAUUAUCAUGAGCCUGUCAGAGGAGAGGUAUAAAAGUUGCAAAGUGCAUUUAUUUUAACUAGUGAACUCGUUGGUUGAAAUUCGAUGAGAAUAUAAGCCAAAUCUUGUGGUUUGCUAUGGAGAUUCUUGAGUGAAUAAACAUUUUACUUAUUAAGUUCUUGCUGAAAUGUGGUCUGUAUUUGAUUUAGUUCUGCAUUAUAUGAUAGGUCGAACUAAUUACCAGUCUGCCAAGGUCUUUACUCUUUAAAUCUUCUUGUGGUAGUUGCAUAAAGAUUUAUGUGCAUAUAUGAGAACUAAUGGUCAUAUAGGAAACAAUUGCCACCAUACAUUUUAAUAUCAAAAGCAGA